rnacentral:rRNA from 1 species
CCUACGGGAGGCAGCAGUCGGGAAUAUUGCGCAAUGGAGGAAACUCUGACGCAGUGACGCCGCGUGCAGGAAGAAGGUUUUCGGAUUGUAAACUGCUUUAGAUAGGGAAGAAAAAAAUGACAGUACCUAUAGAAUAAGCUCCGGCUAACUACGUGCCAGCAGCCGCGGUAAUACGUAGGGAGCGAGCGUUAUCCGGAUUUAUUGGGUGUAAAGGGUGCGUAGAUGGAUAAACAAGUUGGUUGUGAAAUCCCUCGGCUUAACUGAGGAAUUGCAACCAAAACUGUAGAUCUUGAGUACUGGAGGGGAAAGCGGAAUUCCUAGUGUAGCGGUGAAAUGCGUAGAUAUUAGGAAGAACACCGGUGGCGAAGGCGGCUUUCUGGACAGAAACUGACAUUGAGGCACGAAAGUGUGGGGAGCAAACAGGAUUAGAUACCCUGG